CUUCAUCCCCUGAGAGUGGGAGGACCUGACCAUAAAAAUGAGACUUCCAGCUCUCUUACCCCUCAUUGGCCCUGGUUCAGGACCCUCUGCAUGAGGAUGUCAAGGGCUGGGCAUGGGAGUGACUGUAUAGGGACAAGGGAUGGAGCAGUCCCAGCUGUAAGUCUUGAGCAUAGGACACAGGCAGUGUCAGCUGGAAGUACAGAGCUCUGAUCAUCCCUUUAACCCUCAGAAAUAAUCUCUGAGCAACUCCAUUGUCCAGAACUAGAUGUGCCAUUGUGGAACAUGGUGAUAAUAGCCAAUCAGAGACAAUCCCUCCCUCCCCAAUGCUUUGUCUAUUUCCCCCUACAUUAGGGCCCUUUAUGUGGCUUCCCAUAUUCUCAGAAGAGACAUUAUGCUCUACUCAGUGGUUUCAGGGUAGGUACAAGAUGGCGGGGAAGUAGGAGGAGGCGCCCAUUCAACCUGCACCCUAAAGUGAGCUGAUUACCUUCCAAAGAUAUACAAUCACCCACAAAAUCAGCCUGAGAUCAGAAUUAUACACGUCUGGAUUUCUACUGGAGCAGAAGACGCCAGUGGGCAGAAAAUGUAGAGACACCAGGGGUGAGCACACAGAGAAAUGCUAUGUGAGGACCCAGGAAGAAUGCUUCAAUCUGCAAGCCAGGAAGAGAGAACUCAGGAGAAAUCAGCCCUAUUGUUACCUUGAACUUGAACACUCAGCCUCCAA
rnacentral:lncRNA from 1 species